ACCGCCUCACUUCCUUCUUCUCCCCGCGUAUUUUCUCUCUCACUCUCUCUCGCUCUCUUCCACACCGAAUCAAGCGUGCUCUUAUCACUCCCGCGCGUGCGCGCACUCUCUCUCUCUCUCUCUCUCUCUCUCUCUCUCUCUCUCCACAUUCAUGCUUGUUCUUUGAAGGUAUUCCUCAAAGCCCACCUUUACUCAUUUGUAUUUGGUUACUUGCACUGAUUUACAUCUGGGUUCUUGCUCAAAUGCUUUCUUUCCAUCUGGGGACCUCAAUAUUCAAGCAAAACAAAUUUCCCGCACGGGUUUAUCUGCUCAUACUGAUUGCAUCAUUACUGAAGAUAUUGAAUCCCUGAAGCUUUCUUGCGCCAAGUUGAAGUCACCCAGACCCUAAGCAUAUAUUCCUCAAAUACUGUAAGGGAGAUUCGUGAACAAGAACGAAGAUCUCAGAAGGCGUGUAUGAUAAUGCCGGUAAAACUUUAAAAGUGUAAGAAGAUGGCAUGCUGCAUUUGCUCCAGAAGGAUAUCUGGAUAUAGGCAAGACUCUAAGUUGAAUCCAUCAUGAGACGACAGUAGUAAGUACAAUGGAAGAGAGACAAAUCUUCAAUGUCUGGAAAAUUUCAGACUCUUUAUUUGAACCCCUUCCCCUCAUGCGUGCCGUUCCUUCUAUGCACCUCGCAUAGUUGCAUCCCUCCGCAAUGGCCAAAGCUCAAAUCUCUUGGCUCCCACAUGCAGCUUCAUUACUUCCAUGUCCAACGAUGGAGGAAAUCACUCCCAGCUAGCAGGAAAUCUCACCGACAGAUCCAUGAUUUGAGCCAACUAGCUCUGCAAUUGACCGUACAUGAACAUUCAUCUUGGUGGUUGGGAAGGCCACGGCUUGUGCAAAGGCAUUGAUCAUCCCUGAUCUGCUGCUCUGCUCAUGUGUGAAUGGGAGUGGGGAUUUUCAAAAUCUCUUAAACAGUGGUCAAAUUUAGCACCUUAUACGGCAAUUUCAACUACAAAUACAUCAUGCCGAAAGCAAUGCAACCCACCACUAGAAUUCCCUGCAAACACCGCACCUCAAUCCUCAGAUCUAAGCUUAGAGGCCGUUGGUCUCAUGCUGUGACCACAACGGCUCCUUCCAGGUAUGAGUGUUUUCUAUUUGCUAUAUUUCUAUCUGCUAUUGAUUGGGUGCUGCUGCUACUUAAUUUUUUGCUGGAACUGUUUAGCUACUUAUUAUUUUUUGCAAUGUCUCCUUCCAAUCUGUUGAAUGGAAAAUCUCUGGAAAAGGGCAAAAAGUUGAUGUUAUAGGAACAACAGAUUAUUAAAUACUAUUGAAGUGAACAUGGCAAAAAUUAACAGAUAUUCAUGUUCCAUGAAUGAGAGGAAAGUUUAGAACAUGAGAGAAGAAAGACAUUGAUUAGGCUUCGUUGUGAAGAUAUCCGUAAGCUCAACUACCACAUGCCCAACUAAAGAAUUUUAUGUCCGAGUAUCUGACCAAUGACCAUGUCACAUUACUCAAGCCUUUUAUUUAUUUUAUUUUUGGGAUAAUUUAUGGUUGUUGUUGGAAGAUUGGUGGUGAAAGGGGUGUAGCUUCUGGGGUAGGGUUUUUGUUGAAAGAUAAGCAGAAAAGGCAUAGAAUUUGUAUAAAUAAUCUAGUUCAGACACUUCAGGCAAUUUCAUUCUCUGCUCUCCAUAUGCUGACUGCUAGACUUCAAACUUCAAAGAAGUAUAUAAUAUUAUGAUCAGAGAAAGGGUGUCUCUGACCAGAAGAUCCAUAAUAAUCUACUAAUCUUAACUUUGUGCAAAAGAAUUCAGCUAGCCUUUGAAGGAGACAGAGAGAAUAUUGUAAAGCCAAUAAAGUUGUAAGAUAUUUAUGUGUUGUUAUAUGGUUGUUCAAGCCAGAAUAACAUUUUUUUUUUUUUCCUUUUUUUUCUCUAAUUGCCAAAGGAAAUCCCUGAAAGCAGCUGAUGAUGCCACAGGUUGUUUCCUAGAAAUUACACUCGAUCUUGUUUGCUUUUGUGUGUCUGGUGCUGCUAGUGGGGAAUGUGUCAGCAUCCCUGGCAUCACAUUAGAACACAGGCAAUAAACGGUCAAACCAUAAUUCGAUUUGCCAGUCAUUUAAAUUUUAUUAAUAAGACUUACUUUUUUAUGAAGGACUUGCACAGACUUGUCUAUUUAGAGCUUGUACUUAUCAUUAUAAAUAUAUAAACUACUUUCAACCAGGCUCCAUAAAUUGGUCAACCAUGAAGCAAAACCCAGUCCUGUUAAACACUCUGGAUUAUUAUAGAUGUUUUUUAUUUUGAAAGUACGAACAUUCUAUUUUGAAGUAAAAAUUAUAUUUGCCUGUCUGAAAUUAAUGGUCUGUCUACUAGCCAAGGCGAAAUAUCUUGUUCAAGUCUUGAUGAUUGACAUCAUAGAUAUCAACCCUGUUAGUACAAACUGACACAUGGAUGGAGUCAUAGAGAUUUACCACUCACCACAAAGUUCAAAGCCAUACUAAAAAUCAUUCUCAACCCACCACAACACUAUAUGCUUGCUGCAGCUUCUUUUUACUCUUCAGAAGCAUCACCAUGUUCUUCUUCUGCCUUUGCACCUCCUUCCAGGUUCUUGUCUGAUUUUGAAACUUCUUGAUCUGCCGUAACAGGAAAAAAAUAUACAAAUCGUUGUCAAUAAACGGUUAGAGAUUUAGAAAAUAGCUAAACCAGGAAACAAGGACUUGAAAAACUGCCCUAAACAUUUUCUUCCUAUUUCAGGAGUGCAUUUAAGAAUCUCCCUUAUUGAGUAAUAAUAUAAUAUAUAUGCAUACAAGCUUUUUAAUGAAUCCAAUCACGUUGGUUGGUGGUAAAAUAAUUGUAAGAAUAUCAUUGUUUUAAUCAUAAAAUUAACACACCCAACAAAAAAUAAAAAAAUAAAAAAAAUGCAAGUUUACUACUACAUUAACUUCAAGGUCCAAGGUUAAAAUAAAAUGUGAGCUUCCCCAUAUGUGCAAUUUGACAACACUCAGAUUUCUUCUUCAACUUUCUCUUAAGACAAAUAAAGAUAUAAGUGAAAAUGCUAUGAAUUGAGCAACUAUAUCUGCAGCUUUCUACUAUGUAUCUCUACAGAUCUGCACAUUGCUGCAAACCCAUCUCUUUCAAUUAACAAGAGCUGCCUGCAAUUCAACAUUUGUAUAAUGUCACAUAUAUAGGAUCUCAUUUAAAUUAAUGUUUAAAUAGACAGUCAUUCAAAUUUUAUGCUAAACUAAUGUUUUUAGGCACAACUAAAACUACAUCACAUUCACUCUCCUCAUUAUAAGUUUGAAAGCAAACAGAGGCAGAUUAGUGGAGGGUCACAAUUAAGUUAUUAACUUCCAGGAUUGGUUAAAUAGGUCACCUAUUUCAGAAUAGAUAGAGGUACCUCAUAAUGCCAGCCUGUGAACCUUGAAAAGUGGCGACAAUGUUUAGAAGAAACUCCUAACAUAUAUACAACCUAGUCCUGGUGUGUACUUGGACCAUAUUAUGAAAUGAUGGGAUGGUUCUCAAAGUAAAAUUAACUAGAGCUCGAAGGAUCUUGUUCUCUGCCUUCUAUUUUCAGUUUCUCUGCAUUUACCUGUCAAUACAGUGGAAAUGACCUGAGAGGACUGGGAGAAAUAAAUUUCUUGUUUACAAAAUAUUAAUUUCCUUGUCAAUGAAUAGUGGGUACAGAUCAGCUUCGUCUUUUAGGCAUUCUUCAUUCUACCACGCCUGCUCUUGUUUUUAAUGGAGUCCCAUGCAGUCUCUUCGGUUAUUUACUACUUGCAUCUUUAGUUUGUAUUAGCUAACUUCACCUCAAAUAACUUUGACAUCAGAAGUUGGAGAUAAUUACCUCUCAUUAUAGUUGCCCCUGCAAAAGAGAGAAUUUUAAUUUGUACUUCCAAAACAGACAUGAAAAUCUGUCUAAAAAUGCCAAGAAAAAUGCAUUUGAAAUGAAUAUUCGGUGGAAACUCGGCGCUUAUUAUUUGUUAACUUAUUCUUCACGUCUUAUCCUUCGCACCUUUUUUGGCCAUCCUUCUAUGUUGUCCUAAAACCAAAAUCAGGCUUGUCAUGGUUAUUGAUUCUUGCAGAUUGCAAUUCCUGGUUCCCAUCUUAUCCUUCGCACUCUGCUUUCCACAAUAAAUCCUUAAUAAAUCUUAGGAUGGAUAUCAAUCUUGAUCAUACCAACAGCUUAUUGAGAAUGAUUAUGUUAACAUAGCAAUUCGUUUACUGCAUUUUGUAUGUGUUAUGCAUGUAAAUUCAGAAUAAUAUUUCCUAUUUUGCACUUUGGUUAUUUUUGUUAUUGUAGUGGUACUUGUUACGCUCCUGCCGUAGACAUCAUCCAUAUCAACAGGUAAGAACUAUUUGCAUGCACAUUUAUUGUCUUCAAAAUUUAGUUCACUGUAAAAUUUUAGUACUAAACUUAUUAUGAUGUUCAAUAGAUUCAAUGUUUUGCAUUGUUGUUAUGUUGCUAUUUGUGUUUUUCAUGCCUCCGCUGCCAAAAUAAAUGUUUGUAGAAGAGAUGAGGCUGCCAUUUUUAAUAUUUUGCAAACAAUUACUUGUUUUGCCAUAUUAUUAAUUUCUUAGCUAUUCUACAUGGAUGAUCUGGAAACACGAUCCGGGAUCAUGAAAUUUGGGCCGAUGGCAUGGAUGAGAUAUUUCUUGACAUGCUAUACCAGGACGCCCUUAACAGUAGAUUAAGGACUGGAAAGAUCACAAAUAGAGAGCAUUUAGAAUAUGCUCAGCGGCUCACCGCUGUUGGUGGGAAGGUGUUUGACGUGAACCAGAUUCGGGACAAAAUUCAACGAUUGAAGGGCCUAUAACGUCUGUUUACCAAUCUUUUGAGCCAAACCGGGAUGGGUUGGGAUCCUGACACGAAGAUGGUAGUGGCAAGCAACAAAAGCUAGGGAUAUGCGAUUAGGGUCAAAUCGAAAUAAGGGAGAUUUCGUAAAUUCAGUUGCCCCAAGUAUGAGGAGUUGUGCACCAUAUUCGACACUUCUAUUGCAUAUGGUACUUUGCAACACUCGUCAACACAACUGAACCCAUAUAGUGAUGAGGAGCAGUAGCUUGAUUCAGAGAUGCGAGCUCGGCACCCUCCCAAUGUUGGCAAUCGACAGGGUCGCGCAUUGAGAUUGAUGAUAUGGAUGAGGUUAGGAUCGCGAGGUGUAUCGACACAUUCAUCAUGUAGGCGUAAUAAGAAAAUUAGCCAGGUCGAUGUAGACAUCUUUGCGUGCCUCGAGGAGGUGAAAUGCACACAGAUCGCGUGAUGCAAGCGGCAUGAGGAGGGCACUGGAUUGACCUCAGAGAAGUGCAGCAAAGGAUCAAAUCCUUAUCAGCCCAACGAUGGGCCUUACGAUCCGCUGAGUCAUUGCAUCAUAUUGUUGAGCAAGAUUUCCCCAAGAGUAAAGGGGGCACUAUGGUUUCAUGCAGUGACAUUGUUACUUGAUCCUAGUAUACAGUGAGCCUUCUUAACAAUGGAUGCCAUUGGGAGGGAACUUUGGGACAGAAAUUGUUUAGGCCCAUGACUUGAGGAUGAUUUCUCAUCUAUUUAUUUAAUGUGAUAGCUACUUUAUUAGUUUCAUGAAACGAUUAUCUAUGACUGUGCUAAGUUUAUGUUAUUGCUAAUUUUGUUGUGUUAAACUUUUUCCAUGACAUGCAUUUGGUAUUAAUGUGAUAUUUAUUACUAAUAUUUUGUCUUCA